GUCGACUCGACUCCCCCUCCGCAUCAGAUCCCCUCCACCUCCCCCUUCAUCCGCGGUGACGGCGCGGCGUGGGGAAGAUGACCGGCGGGAAGAGGGACACAACGCACAGGAUCAACCACGCGACUAGCGCGGACAGUUUGCAAGCUGCUCUCCACCGUCGGGGCGCCCGAGUCGCCAGCUCCCUUCCCCGCGGCGGGCCCAAGCUGCCGAUCUCCUCCCUCGCCUAGGGCGGGCCCGAGCCGCCGAGUACUGUUAUUGUUUCCUGCAUCCAUUUCGUGAGAAAAUUGCUAGGUUCAAUCAAACAAGUGAGAGAUACGUACAUACAACACUUUUAACUUUGAGCUUUUACUUGUUCCAACUACUGCAUACAUACAACUUAUAGUGUUACUACUGCACAAAGAGGUGUGGGCAGCUUCAGUUUUUUUUAAAGACUGCAGCUUCAGAAAUUUAACAUAUGAUAUAUGUUUCGUUCUCUAGUUUUGCUCUUACCCUUUCUCAAUUUUAGGAGCCAUUCAAGUUCAUUUCAGUUUUAUAUGUUCCCAAACCUGAUUUUAGUUCAGUUAUCCCUUAUCACUAAAUGCCUUUUGAUUCACUUUUGUAGAAGGCCCUUGAUAGCCAGACUGAGAUGAUAGAGGUGGUCAAGAUCAUGCUGGAUGAACUAUUGGAUAAGAUUCAGGAUUUAGAGCUGAACCUGGAAGGCACAAAUGAUAUUGUUCGACAUGUAUGACAUCUUUUCUAGCAGAAUUGAGGAGCUUGAGAAGAAGCUGAAAGAGAAGAUAAAGAACCUUGCCAAGUACUGCAAAAGCAAGUUUGUCACUAGGAAGCAACAAUGUUUUCUGGUCGGCUGGUCGAUCCUGGUCGACCUGGGACCGACCAGGGGCGAUUAAUUGCGAUUAAUCAGCGACCAGGUCGAUUAAUCGACCCUGGUCGUCCCUGGUCGUCCAGGCAUAUCAGUAUACACACACACACACACACACACACACACACUAUAUUAUACACAAUAAAGGAAGCAUCAAGACUGCAUUAGUGUAAACCAACAUUCCUCUUCAUCUUCAAUUUGUGUUGGCGCCUCUAGAACAGUCCUUGAUCUCUUUUUGAUGUAAACCAACAUCUCUUUCUUAACUAUUUCUGGAGAAUUGGGACAACCAACAGCAUCUCCAUAACCCCCACAUAUCUGCCCAGUCAAAAGAGCCCAAAAACAUAGCACACAACCUUGUCGUCCAUGUCCUAAUCGGAUGAUUAAUCGCGAUAAGUGGACAACUAAUCGGAUGACCAGGUUUCUGGUCGACCUGGUCGGGUCGGACCUCCUAAUCGAGCACUCUUGACCGACCAGGACGAUUAAUCGCGAUUAAUCGGACGACCUGAAAACAUUGGGAAGUAGUCAUGUGUCGAUGGAACUGUCCUCUCUGUGGGGUAGUGAACUAGGGAUGUAUAUAUGGAACCACUUUGUCAUGGUAGCAGCAGUGGGUCGCACCUAACUAUUUAUGCAGUGUCGUAGUUCCCCAUUGUAACUGCAGUGUUUGUCGUCAUGGAAUGGUUGUUCUUGUUACUACCUAUUUGAACCACUAACUUGCACCUAUAGUGCGGCUUGGUUGUUAAAUCGCUUAGGGCCAAAAGAUUUUGGUUGUGCAUUCCUAUAUGACAUUUUUUAUCAAAAUUUUCAAAAUGGUGACAGGAUAAUUGCACUAGCCUGAUAACAUUUAUGAUGCCAACUAAGUAUCAUUAGAUUUUUCAUAAUUAUAUUUUUAUAGUAUACAUAUUUGAUGUCACAAAUCUUUGUAGUUUUCUUUAUAAUUUUCAUCAAACUUAAGAUGCUUUGACUUUUCAAGAUUCUUGAAAUGACUUAUAAUUUGGAAUGGAGGGAGUCAAAGAAAUGGUGUGUUGAAUAUGAUCUCCUCAGCAGCUAUUUGGUGUCUUUGGAAAUUGAGAAAUGAUAUUUGUUUUCAGAAAACAGAUAGGAGGAGCAUGGACAUACUACUCCACUAGAUUGUGGCUAUAGCCCAAAAUUGGGUGAUCUUGUGUCAAGAGGAGAAGAGGGAGUCGAUGCAAAUGAAAAUUGGAGUAAUCAAGAUGUUGGAUGGACAAAUUUUCUGGCUGCAGCACUAGGAAAGAAGCUACAGACCUGGGAUGUGGUGGAAGAAGUUUCAACAAUGUGACACAAGCCUGGUGGAGUCUCAGAGUGGUGUUCCCUGCCGGUGUAAGGCUACAGUCUUGGCAUAGCUGGGGUUUUGGUUUUUGGCGUUGUUUGUCUUUGCUGGUUAGUUCUGUUUAGGUUCUGGUUUUCUCCUUCCUCUGUGCUGUGGUCCGGUAAGUGGAGUUAACUCGGUGCUGUUAAGCAUUUCCAAAUGAGAUGCCAUUCGCAAUGAUGUAAACGGUUAAACUGUCAUUUGGCAUUAGUUAAAAGACUAGCUUUGUCCUUAAACUAAAAGAAAAAACAGACGCAAAAAUGAUUAAACUAGAGGAGGAAAAACUGGCAAGAGACAAAAAUAGGUCUGAGGAUCACAGAUCAUUUUGGCUCUGAUGCAUAUAUCAUGCACCGAUGCAAUUUUUUUAAAAGUCACACCUGUCCACCACGAUUUUUUUUAUUUUUAAAACAAAUUUCAAAUUUAACACUAUUUUUUUUAAUUUUUAAAACUAACCCUUUGGCCGCGCUUAGAACCAUGGUGCGGCCAAAUAACACUGCCGUGCCAUGCAUGGCGGCGUGACAGAGGAGUCAGUCAAUUUGUGUAAGUGUUGCUAGUUGUUUGGUUGUCUUUAUGUGUGAUGGGGGUUUUCAUCUAGAAUAAAGAUUAGGGGCGCCUCCAGAUUCUGUCGUAGCCCUACAAGGCCAUGGACCAUACAGGGCCAUGACAGGUUCGUUCCAUAAGUUCAGUUGAACCUUUAUUUAUGAGUUUGAGUUGAGGAUUAUCAGGUAUGUUCAUUCAAAUGGACAUUGAAUUUCCUCUAUAUGUUUAAUUACCAAGUCAAAUAAUCUAAAUCUGGACAGCACAUGGUUAGUCUUUUAAGUUGUUGCACAUGAAUGAUAAGAAAACCUAUUAAAAAUGUAUCAUUAACAUUUGUUUCUGUAAUUUUUUAGUGUGGUUUUUAUCACAUAUUAAGCUGGGGUAUUAGAAUUUUAUCUGUUGAUUUAACUUAAGUGAAUACAGUUUUCUGGUGCUGUCUCUGUCAUCUGUCCACGUCUUGUAAGUUUCAAGUUGCAACUUAACUUUGUUUAUACUAGCUUUUCAUGAUCUAUUUUCCAAAUCAAUAGCAGUAUGGAAGGAAUAAUCCACAAUAACUAUGCCACUCUUGUUACCAUGCUGUGAGAGCUUAUUCUUGUAUUAGAAUUCAGAAUAUACUUCUGAGUUCAACAAUAAUUAUCUAUUUACAUUCUAUUAAAAUUGUAAAUUAGUGCUUGUAUUUGUAUAAUGAAUUCCUAUAUUGGUUGUUUGAUGCACUGUCUGUAUUUAACCUUUUCUUAGAAGGGCAUCACAUCCCUUAGUUCUAUCAAUAAUGGAAAGUGUGGUAAGCUACAGAUUACCACAGUACACAAGGCUUGUUCCAUUUAGUUACUACUUGAAACAUGUGUAUAAUCCAAGAUCAUGCCUACACAUAGGUGGUAGAUUAGGGUAUUUGAGAAGUGUUACCCCUGUUUUGAAAAGUCAUGUGUUUGUCACUCUUGGGAAACAUUUCUCGAGGAUUGGGUGGCCAAUUCAAGUGAGUCUUGUUUACAGGAAACCUUCUGAUUCAACUAUAGUUUGAUUGCUAUUAGCUGCUCUAUAAUGGUCCAAGUAGUAUGGUGCUGGCAUACUGGUCAACUUUCAGUUUUAGUUUUUCUAGGUUGGACGACUGGUCUGGCCUUUUCUUAAUAAUUAUAGGUUUAUAGUAUGCUGUUCAAGCUUCCUGUAUGUGGUACAUUUAUUGUUCAAUAUUGUUUAUUUAAUUUUCAAAUUAUUGUAUGAUGUGUAUAAACCAAAUAUGCAUGCCGUACGCUGAUCUCAGUCUUCUGUGUCUUGCUUCAGGAUAUGCUCUAAGUUCUGUUGAAGGUCGAGUUUCCAUGGAAUUCUUUGAUCUAUCCGUGUCUGCUCAGUCUAAAAAUUAUAUGUCAAAAAUAACAAAAGUACUACAUGAUCCCUGUGAAGCAGUGCGGAGACAAACAUUUUAUCCUACUCUCUAAGUUGCUGCAGAGGGACUAUGUAAAGUGGAGAGGGGUUCUCUUCCUUCGGUUUCUGCCAUCUUUAGUUGAUGAGUCUGAGAAGAUUAGGCAUUUGGCUGACUACCUUUUUGGAAACAUCUAGAAAGCUAAAGCGCCACCCCUUGCAUAUAAUAGUUUUAUUGAAGCUAUAUAUGUUCUAAACAAUUGCACUGGACAUGGUGUCUAUAGCAACUCUCAGUCUCAGGGAAGUUCAGACAGAAGAUCUGCCCUUUUUGCAAUUCCUGGUACUGACGAACGAUCGGGAUAAAAAUGAAUGCACAUUUAUGUCUCUUUGCUGAAACAAAUGGCACCAGAGCACCUUUUAGCCACGUAGGCCAAGUUAUGUGCUGAGAUCUUGGCAGCUGUUUGCGAUAUAUGGCUUGCUCAGUGAUGAUGAUGCUGGUGGAAGGGUUGUACUUCAGGAUCUCUAUAGAUACCGGCUUGCAAGGAGAUGCACAUCCACCUCAACAUCUUGUCAGAGAAGGCGAUGUACAUCCACCUCAACAUCUUGUCAGAGAAUUCUGAGAUGGACGAGGAAGCUGGCAAGGGCGGAGGAUCCUGGUGGCCAAAGGGAGGGUGGUGACCCAGGUCGUGAAGAACCUGAUCCAGAUCAUGGUCCCAAUCUUCAUCGAGCUGAAGCAGCUGUUGGAGAGCAAGAACAGUGAGCAGUGACAUCGAGCUGAAGCGGCUGCUAGGGAGCAAGCACAGCAAGUGAGCAGUGACGACAGUGAGGCGUGUAUAGUGAGCCAGCUGUGUGUGUGUACCAUAAAUCAAGAGUGCGUUUUGUUUUUUACCGUUAAUGGAUGGGAACCCAUUAUGAGAUGAUCUAUUUAUGUUUUAGAGGGUGUUUGGUUAGAGGUGUUAAAGUUUAACAGUUAGUAUUUUCGUUUUAUUUGGCAAUUAGUGUCUAAUUAUGGACUAAUUAAGCUUAAAAUAUUCGUCUCUCUAUUUA